CCUGCCACAGGUAACCCUGCAAUGAGUGACCUCGCCAUGGGGACCCUGUCAUGGGUAACCCUGUCGGGGGGUGACCUUGCCAUGGGUGACCUUGCCGUGGGUGACCCUGCCAUGGGUGACCCUGCCACGGGUAACCCUGUCGGUGGGUGACCUUGCCACGGGCGAUCCUGCCAUGGGUCCUGGUGAUUUUGACGCCGUCAUGUGGAGUGUUUGCUCUGUGGAUGAUCCGUGUGGGACGGGGCGGGGCCCGCGUCAGCAAUCACUGUGAGGCGGCGUCACAACAGAUCGUUUGUGCUUAUGGCAAUAUCUGCUUCUGUUCCAUUGCUGAAGACACUUUAUUCCUUGUGUUCUGUUUCACACUUGCGAUCCUUAAUGUUGAUGUACUUGAAUUGAUGACUUGCAAAUUGUACUAACCCUGCAGGACUUCAGUGCCUUGAAUCUCAGCUUUCCAGUCCCAGCUGGAAAGAGAUGUACAAUUAUUUGAAAGUUUGCGCUCCAGGUGGCACGGACACCUCUCUCCUGUUUGAAAGUUGCUUUUUGCCCGUUUUACUGUGCGUAGAGUCUCCACCUGCACCUCAGUCUAAAGGCACAAGGUAACCACUAGACCUGGUUUGCCGAUGGUAAGUCUCCUUCCCUCUGAAAGCGCUGCGGGAGCGUUACAGGCACAGGACCCGGAGCAGUGGCCAUGCCCAAAGGCGCCGUCACUCCCUGGUGAUGAUGCUUUAUACCAUCUGCUGAAGGGCAGAGAUGUCCUGUGCUUCCAAGCUGUGAAUUGUAUAGUUCUAUUGUACCUCGAGCAUUAUUAUUCUACCUGUCUAAAUUAUUUUGUUUGUACCCUUUGAAUAUAUUAUUCCAUCAAUUCAGUUAGAAUUGAAUUUUAUAGACAAUUAUGCAGAGUCUUCUGCCUGGGCAAAAUACUUACUGUAGUAAGAGAUUUCUGUUCUCUGUACCAUGUAUCUUUAAUUUGUUUGAGUUUUUUAGAUUCAUGUAUGUAUGCUUCAUGAGCAAACAUGGAAAAUAUGUUCUCACACCGGGUUCCCUUCGGCUCGCACUGAAUCCUACAGAUUAUGUCGCUAUUGCCUGUAUAGUCCAUCCCUUGUAUACUGACAAAGUCAGUGGCACUAAAAGCCCCGAGAAAUUGUAUAGAUUAAAAAGAAAAAUAAACAUUUUGUGCUU